rnacentral:tRNA from 1 species
GGAGAGGUGGCAGAGUGGUCGAUCGCGCCUGACUCGAAAUCAGGUGUUGGCUUAUACCCAACCGUGGGUUCGAAUCCCACCCUCUCCGCCA